GUUAUCGGCGGGGCAGCUGAGAAGCGCAUGCUCGCGGGAUCGCGCGUGCGUGAGCCUCGCGUGCACGAGCCUUGCGAGCCAACGUGCGCGCGUCCGGCGUCCGAGGCGGUUGGUGUCAGGGAGUUGUUGAGGCGCGAUACGAGGCAAUUAUUUCCAGUCAGAAAAGGGAACCAGUGCCUGGCUUUCUCACCAGCUUUCUACCUGCCAUGAUCAAGUGCUUGUCAGUUGAAGUACAAGCCAGGUUGCGUUCUGGUUUGGCUAUAUGCUCCUUAGGCCAGUGUGUUGAGGAGCUUGCCCUCAAUAGUAUUGAUGCUGAGGCAAAAUGUGUGGCUGUCAGGGUAAACAUGGAAACCUUCCAAGUUCAGGUGAUAGACAAUGGAUUUGGGAUGGGGAGUGAUGAUGUAGACAAGGUGGGAAAUCGUUAUUUCACUAGUAAAUGUGACUCUGUACAGGACUUGGAGAACCCGAGGUUUUAUGGUUUCCGAGGGGAGGCCUUGGCCAGUAUAGCUGACAUGGCCAGUGCUGUGGAAAUUUCAUCCAAGAAAAACAAGUCAAUGAAAACUUUUGUGAAGCUGUUUCAGAAUGGAAAAGUCCUGAAAGCUUGUGAAGCUGACUUGACUCGACCAAGUGCUGGGACAACAGUCACCGUAUAUAACCUAUUUUAUCAGUUACCUGUAAGGAGGAAAUGCAUGGAUCCUAGACUGGAGUUUGAGAAGGUUAGGCAGAGGAUAGAAGCUCUCUCACUCAUGCACCCUUCCAUUUCUUUCUCUUUGAGAAAUGAUGUUUCUGGUUCCAUGGUUCUUCAGCUCCCUAAAACCAAAGACAUAUGUUCCCGAUUUUGUCAAAUCUAUGGACUGGGUAAGUCCCAAAAGUUAAGAGAAAUAGAUUUUAAAUAUAAGGAGUUUGAGCUUAGUGGCUAUAUCAGCUCUGAAGCACAUUAUAAUAAGAAUAUGCAGUUUUUGUUUGUGAACAAGAGGCUAGUUUUAAGGACAAAGUUGCAUAAACUCAUUGACUUUUUAUUAAGGAAAGAAAGCAUUAUAUGCAAGCCAAAGAACGGCUCUGCCAGUAGGCAAACGAAUUCAAGUCCUCGGCCUCGGUCUAGCCCAGAACUCCAUGGUAUAUAUGUAAUCAACAUGCAGUGCCACUUCUGUGAGUAUGACGUGUGCCUGGAGCCAGCAAAAACUCUGAUUGAGUUUCAGAACUGGGAUACUGUUUUGGUUUGUAUUCAGGAAGGAGUAAAAAUGUUUUUAAAGAAAGAAAAAUUAUUUGUGGAAUUAUCAAGUGAAGACCUUAAGGAAUUUAGUGAAGAAAAUGAGUUUAGUUUAUUUAGUGCCACUCUUCAGAAGCAAGUGUCCUCUGAUGAGAAGUGUGACCAGGUCAAUUUCCAAGAAGCAUGUAAUAAUAUUUUGGAUUCCUGUGAAAUGUUUAAUUUGCAAUCAAAAGCUGUGAAGAGAAAAGCUCCUGUAGAAAACAUAAGCACACAGAAUUCUAGGGAUUCGGAAGCUAUCAGAAAAAAGACAAAUGAUUCAUUUUUGUAUACUUACAAAUCCGAUGGGCCAGCGCAUAGUAAAAUGGAGUCAUCUUUACAAAACGAAGAUAGCGCUUGCUCAGAGUCAAGGAUCUUAGAACAAGAGACAGCUGAAGCAUCAGAAUCAGGAGCAAAUGAGAAACAUAAAAAGUCUUGCUUGGAACUUAACUCUUCAGAAAAUCCAUGUGGAGCCAGUUCAGAAAUGUCUGCAAGCCCUUUUCAGACACUUUAUCACUUUGAGGGGAGUGGAGAAGGUCUAGAAAUACAGAAAGUAAGUACUACUGCUAAUGGCAUGGCUGCCAACAUCCUGAAAAAUAAUAGAAUUCAGAAUCAACCAGAGAGAUUUAAAGAUGCUACUGAAAUGGGAUGCCAACCUCUGUCUGUUGAGACAACAUUAUCGGGAGCACAGGGUGCUCAGAGAGAAGAGAAAAGAAAAGAAGAACCUAGUAAUUGUGGAAGAAUAAAUGUUUUUAGUUAUGGGCAAGUUAAAUUAUGUUCCACUGGCUUCAUAACUCAUGUGGUACAAAAUGAGCAAACUAAAUCAACUGAAACAGAACAUUUAUUUAACAAUUAUGUUCAACCUGGUUUUGUGAGUGCCAAAGAAACAUUUGGAAAUAGAACAUGCCAUUCAUUUGAGACUCCAAACACCAAAGAUUUAACCACCACUUUAAGUAAAGAAUUUGCUCAACUGCCCAACAAAAGAUUGUGCAAAACAAAUAUGAGUUAUGGGCUAGAGAACAAACCUAUAGCAACUUAUAAAAAUUUUGCUAUUUUUCAGGAAAGUAGUAAAACAUCGUACACAGGUUGCUCACUACCUGACACAUCCUCUUUCACUUGGGGUAGACAUAGUUCAAAUGGUAGUAAGAAAACAGGUAAGUUGAUUGGUUCUGCCAAACCCAUAGCUCAUAAGAAGCUAAGCUUAAGUUCACAACUAGGAUCUUUAGAGAAGUUUAAGAGGCAAUAUGGGAAGGUUAAAAAUCCUCCGAAUACAGAAGUGGAGGAAAGUAUCACUUCAGAAAUCACUACCGAUCUCAGUCCUCAGGUUGAACCUGACAUUCUGUGGAAAGACAAAAACCACUUAGACAACUCUGGUAUUUGUAAAAUCACUACUAUGAAACAUGAUGAUUCAAAUAGUAGUUGUCAACCAGUAAGUCACAUGUUUUAUUCAGAAAAGUUACCAUUCUCCAAGGAAGACAGUUGUUUGGAAGAACAGAUGCCUUGCUUAAGAGAAAGCCCUAUACCUCUACAGGAGUUAUCUCAUUUUAACAGAAAGCCUUUGGAUGUUGAGAAGUCACCUGAAUCACUAGCCUUUAAAUUAUCCAGAUUGAAAGGCUCCGAAAGAGAGACCCAAACAAUGGAGAUGACGAGUCAUUUUAAUGAACUUUCACAAUCAGAUUCCAGUAGGAAAGACAGUGACUUGUCCAGUGGGUUAACCCUAGAUUCUUGUAAGUUAUUUAAAAAUGAGCAUAAAAAAACAGAAAGUGGCGACAUCCCAGUGUCGGACUCUGUCACACAGGGUAAUCCCUUCAAUAAAGACAGUGAAACACAUGCUAACCGCAAUACAACAGAGAACGCUGUGAUGUCAGAAACUCCUUUAGUACUGCCCUAUGAUCAUUCUACAGUUAUCGGUAAGGAUUCAGAUGUUCUUAUAGCUUCAGAACAACAGAUUGGAAGUCCUAACUCUCCGAGUAGAAUGUUAGUGAGUCACGGAGAAGAUUCCACAGCUGGCCAAAAUGGAACUUGUUGUCAGAGUGAGGAAUCUAUAGCAAGAACUUGUUCUGAAAAUGAAGAGUCCAACACAUGUUCUUUGGAUUGGCAGCAGCAUUUUGAUGUAGCCCUGGGAAGAAUGGUUUACGUCAACAAGCUAACAGGACUUAGCACAUUCACUGCUCCUGCUGAGGACGUUCGGGCUGCUUGUACUAAAGACCUGACAACUAUGGCUGUGGAUGUUCUACUUGAGAAUGGAUCUCAGUACAGGUGUCAUCCUUUUAGAAGCGACCUUGUUCUUCCUUUCCUUCCUAGAGCCCGGGAAGAGAGGACUGUGAUGAGACAGAAUAACAGAGCUACUGGGGAUGGUGCUGUUGGUCCCGAAUCGCUUCAGUCUUUGUUCUCAGAAUGGGACAACCCAGUAUUUGCCCGUUAUCCAGAGGUUGCUGUUGACGUUAGCAGCGGCCAGGCUGAGAGCCUAGCAGUUAAAAUUCACAACAUCUUGUAUCCUUAUCGUUUCACCAAAGAAAUGAUUCACUCCAUGCAGGUUCUCCAGCAAGUGGAUAACAAGUUUAUUGCCUGUGUAAUGAGCACUAGGACUGAAGAGAAUGGUGAGGCAGCGGCACAUGUCACAUCACAUUUGCAUUUUGAAAAUACUGCUCUGGCUGCUGUGUGGAGCCUGGAGCGCGUGUCGAGAUGGAGUCCCAGUAACUGCAGAGAGACUGUUAGGAGGAUGUUGCAAUAUCUAAGAAAUGAUGGUUAGCUGGGAUCAGGGUGACCUAGAGAGAAAGAUAUUUAGGAGAUAAAGUCAGCAGGACUUGGUGAUGGAUUGGAUAUGCGGAAGGUAUAUCAAAGAUGACUCCUGGUUUUCUGACCUAUGUAACUGAGUGGAUGAUGUUGCAGGACGACGAGGUUGGAGAAGAAGCAGGCAAGAAGGGUGAAAAUCAUGAGUUCAGUCUGAAAUCCCUUUGAAAUGUUCAAGAAUGUGUCAGGAAUAUUACAGGUCUAGGAUGCGAGAAGCAUUCUGACAUGGAGAUCUAAAUCUGAGCUGUCAGCAUAAAGUCAGUCACUGAAGUCAUGUGUAUAAAUUUUAUCACCUAGAAGAAGAAUGAAGAGUGAGGAGGGAAGAGAGAUUCUGAAUCUAGAGUAAUUCCGCCAUUUAAUAGCUGGGUAGAAAAGGGUGAACCAGCAAGAGAGGUUAUGAAACAACAGAAAUAGGAAGAAAACAAGCAAAGGUUGUGUUACAAAGCCAAGACUUUGUACUAAGUGCUGCCGAGAGGUUAAGAUGAGGACCAAAAUUAUCUGUUAGGUUUCCAGACAGUGGAGGUCAGGGACUUCAGAUGACAGCUGUUUCAGAGAAGACAUAGGACAGGAGAGACUCCAAAAUCUGUGACAUGGAAGAGGGACUAAGGAGAGUGAGGGUGCGAGGCUUUUUUUUUAACUGGGAGACUCUCGAGCCAUUUACAAGGAAUGCUUGAUCCUGUCAGGCUCUGGAAAAGGCCUGAGUGGCUGAGUCCUGAGCACCACUCGAGGAGCUGGCUCCCGAUGGGUAGACCUGCAGGCGAGAGCUUCUAAAGUGUGAAAGCAGUUCAUUCUCUUUGUACUUCAAAAUAUUCUUUUUUAUCUUGUUUACAGUAUAAAUUUAUUUAGUAAACGUCACCACAGAUCAAAGGUAAAGUAACCAAAAGUUUUGUCGUAAUUAUCAUAAAUAUAGAAUUAGUGAAGGUCAAAUUCUAGUAGUCUUACUACUUCUAGAAAAUGAAUAGAUUGUUUUCUAAAGUUUUGAUUACCUGGAAUUCUUUGUUGUUUAACACCAAAAUCUCUACUAAUGGCACCUGAGACGGGUGUAGCCACAAAAUCUCCAGACAGUUAAAUUUCUCUUGAGAUUCUGGAUUGUUACGGUAUUGGUUAGCUGCCAUCAAGGAGUACUUUUAUAUAAAGAAUUUUUCGAAAUCAAAAUGUAAGUAUUUUUAUUGUUGCUCACAAAUACCAAAAGCAACCUAUUCCUAUAAUUGAGUUACUUUUAUUUUAAUAUUUGCACAUAUUUUUAAUGGAUAAAUAUACUAUUGUUUUACAUUAUUGUGAAAUUAAUGCCAUAUAAUGGCAUUUUUUAUUGCAUGUUUCCACCUAUAAUAAAAUACAGUUGUUCAGUUAUGAUCCUCUAAAGAAUAAGGAUUCAUUCAUUUAUUCUGUAAAUAUUUACUGAGUGCCUGUUAUGUGCCUAGUGCUAUUAUACAUGCCAGGAAUAUAACAGACAAAAAUCCUUGCCCUGAUGAAGAUUCUAUUCUGUUAUUUUGGAAUAUCAAAAAUACAGCUCUGACAUGAGUAAAUUACCUUCAUAUAUUCUGCUUCAUUCAAUGAAUGGAAAAUACCAUGAACAUUUUGUAGACUAUAAAUCAUUCCUCCAGUGUCAGGUGCAGGAUUGAUUUUGUAGGGUCCCUGACUCUUGGUGAUUCACAUUGGCUCAGGUUUUGAGUUUGAGGUUACUCCCUCAUAAUUUAUUAUUUAUUCCAUUGUUCUGCCCAAUACAGGAUGUUCAGUAUUCAUCACAACCAGCUGCAACUCCUCCUAUCCUCAAAGGAGUUUAAAAUUCAACAUUUUGGGGCCUGUUCUGUGGUUGAACAUGCUGUCAGAAAAAUCAUAAUCUUUUUAUUUUUCAAGUCAGUAGCUCUUACGCCAUGAAUUUGAUGGUGUCAUACAAACAAUUUUUUUAAUCUUUAGUAGAAAUAGGAAAAACAGGCAUUAUCUAGUUUGAUCAAAUUCAAGAGGAGAACUUUUAUUUCAAUAUAAUCAGUAACAAUAAACCUCAACCCUUUGGCCAAAAGUAAUAAAAUUACAAGCUAAAAAGAUGUACUAAUGUAAUAGAGAAUCAGUCCUCCUGUCAGUGAGAAAGGGAUUUAUUUCCCUGUAGGUUUGGCUUUGGGGUCAGGACAUUCUGCUUCUCUCUUGCACCUGAGAGUGUAAAGCCUUGCUACUCAAAAUCAAGGUCUGUAAAUAACAUCACCUGGGAGUUUGUUAGACUUGCACAAUCUUGUGUCCCACCCCUAACCUACUGAAUCAGAAUCUGCAUCUUAAUAAGAUCCCCAGGUGAUUUGUCUGCUGUUCAAAGUUUGCAAAGCCUGAGUCUAAAGCUAGGCAAACUGUGGCCUGGGGGCCGGAUCCAGCCAUAACCUGUUUUUGUACAGCCAGGGAGAUAAGAAUGGUUUUUACUUUUUUUUUUUAAUUGACGUGUAGUUAAUUUACUGUGUUACAUUAGUUUCAGGUAUACUACACUUUUAAAUAGUAAAAAAAGAGCAAAGGAAGAGUUAUAUUUUUCGACACAUUAAAAUUAUAUGAAAUUAAUAUUUCAGUGUCUGUAAAAAGUUUAUUGGAACACAGCUACAAUAUUCACAUGUCUAUGGCGGCUUUGGUUCAGAAUGAAUAUUUGAGUAGUUGUGACAGAAACCAUGUGUCCCAAAAGCCUAAAAUAUUUACUGUGUGGCAUUUCACAGAAAAAUCUUGCUGACCUGUGAUCUGAAGUGUAGUAGAAUGCUUCAUGGGUUCUGGGGCAGCUUGCCAAUCAAGGUCAGCUGAUUAUAAAAUGUGUGGUUUAAUGAUCCUUCAUUGUAUCAAAUUUGAAUUAAUAAAGCAAAAUCAGUAUUUAAACAUUAAGAAUGUAGGGCUUUCACCAUGUUUUAGAAAUGAAAUACUAAUGAACUAAAGAGUUUUUCAUCAGGGAUACAUUUGUUUUCGUUUUUCCCAUAACUUUAACUUUGUAGGAAAUAAAAGAUACAGUUGUUAUUGCUCAGUUUGUAUGCUUCUCUUAUGCUCACGUUGUUAAAUAGUUUGAAUUAAGCUUUUUCUCCCUCAACGCAACAUGAUUAUUUUAAUCUUGACCUGAGAAUUUGAAAGCCAGUGGUGCUUGCUGGUCUUCUAGGUGGAAACCUGCUAGUCUUGGUGGACCAGCAUGCUGCCCAUGAGCGCAUCCGACUGGAGCAGCUGACCAUUGGUUCCUAUGAGAAGCAACAGCCACAAGGCUCUGGUCGAAAAAAAUUACUGUCUUCCACUAUAAGUCCUCCACUAGAG